AUUUUUUAAAAUGUAAAUGGAGUAAAUGAUAAAAUGUAGACUGAAUUUAUCAUAAAGACAUUUUCUUUUGGUAUACUGCAAGGAACUAUGAACUUUUAGUAACUACUAUAAGCAACUGACAGGAAAAAAUGGCAACAGAAGAAGGAAAGAGGAGAGAAUGGGGAGCAGACACUAAGGUGUAGUGAAAGGAGGAAAAUGAAGGCUAAGUCUAAUGAUGUGAAUCCUCUUUGCAAUUCCAUCAAAGGAGGGAUCUUCCUACUGACCAGAAGACCUGAACAGCCUGAGAAUGAUUCCUUUCAACUCCGAGAGAAGAAGCUGCAGAUGAAGAGCAAUCCUGGGAUACAUGUGCAGAAUGUGCAGAAUGUGUACAUAGGUACACACUACCAUGGUGGUUUGCUGCACCCAUCAACUCGUCAUCUACAUUAGGAUACUGUUUACUGAAAACCCACCAAUCUGAUCUUUUAUGAGAAGCUAGUCCCUGAAAAGGCCCUUGGAUCAAAGGUCAAAAACUUGAAGCACAGAGUGGGAUGUCAGAUGCCAAGAUUUAAAUCUAGUCAUUUGAUUCCAGAGCCCACAUUCUUAAAUAAUAUGCUACACUGACCUUUAUUGUCUUUAAACAUUAUCUUUAUUUAAUGUGUUUCAUAGAAAUUACUUCUCAGGUAUUCCUAAAUUUAUUUUUAAAAAUAAUGUCAUGCUAUCACUAUAAUAUAGUUUUUUAAAUUAACUUGAGAGGUAAUGUAGUAUGAUCAACUUCCUUAAUGGCCUUUUAAACUGGAAAUAACUAUUAAAUAUUUUAAUAUUAUAAAUUAACAGGCAAAAUGGUGAAAAAUCUAACAUCUGGUUCUUAAAAGUAAGUUGAAAUAUAAGAUCAGAUUUGAAUGCACAUGGAAAAAUAGAACUGGCAAAUAAUGCCAUAUUUGAAGAUCUUUUAGUAUUCUCUGGUAUUUUUCCUUUCAUUUCAAAAUUGUUAUAUUCUUUUUAAUGACUUCAAAUGAAUUAGGAAAUGUCAGGCUUCUAAAAAUCAAACAGAACGUCCAACCAGUAGAUUUCAUUCAGGGCAGUGGGAGCCUGUUCGGUUGUUUCCUCUUUCCCCCUCACUUUUAAAAAUCCUCAAUCACUGCCAUUUCUCUUCUCAGCUUUCACAACACUUUACAGGCAGCUGAAUGAAAGGGCAGAAGCUUCCUCUGAAACUCCUGUUAUUUCAGCUCUAAAAUCAGCUGAAAAGGAUGCCCUCCCCAGAGACAGAAAUGCAUUCCCUCCAUCAUGAACCUGCAAUGCCCUCAGGUUGUGGCAAGGGAGAAGUUUAGCACUUGAACCUAGAUAACGCUAUUUUUUUAAUCAAAGUGCACCAUUCUUGUUUCAUAUGGCCUGUGGCACAAUUUAUUUAAAACAAUAUGGUGCAUCAAAGAAGGUAAACAAUAAUAACAAUAAUAAUAAUAUAGGAAUAGCAAUGUGCACAUAAAUAAUAUAGGAAAACACAUGGCCUCAGUACCUUCAUGAAAUGGGACUUCAAUAUACAUAUUUCUUAUACAGCUUUAUGCAUGACUUCAUUGCACUUCACUGCUCUGUUGUGUCACUCUACCAAUAAACCUAUACAUCAUACUGAGUGAAGUAUGUUCACAGUCCCUUUACUUGACAAAAAAAAAAAAAAAAAAAAAAAAAA
ensembl:lncRNA LINC01111 long intergenic non-protein coding RNA 1111